rnacentral:rRNA from 1 species
CAGUAGCCGCGGGAAUACGUAGGUGGCAAGCGUUGUCCGGAAUUAUUGGGCGUAAAGCGCGCGCAGGCGGCCUAUCCAGUCUGUCUUAAAAGUUCGGGGCUCAACCCCGUGAUGGGAUGGAAACUAGUAGGCUAGAGUAUCGGAGAGGAAAGCGGAAUUCCUAGUGUAGCGGUGAAAUGCGUAGACAUUAGGAAGAACACCAGUGGCGAAGGCGGCUUUCUGGACGAAAACUGACGCGGAGGCGCGAAAGCCAGGGGAGCGAACGGGAUUAGAUACCCCUGUAGUCCCUGUCUCUUAUACC